rnacentral:rRNA from 1 species
UCCACGCCCUAAACGAUGAACACUAGUCGUCGGGAUGCUAGUCAUCUCGGUGAUGCACUUAACAGAUUAAGUGUUCCGCCUGGGGAGUACGGUCGCAAGAUUAAAACUCAAAGGAAUAGACGGGGACCCGCACAAGUGGUGGAGCCAAUCUAUAAACCUAAUCUCAGUUCGGAUUGUAGUCUGCAACUCGACUACAUGAAGCUGGAAUCACUAGUAAUCGUAGAUCAGCUAUGCUACGGUGAAUACGUUCCCGGGUCUUGUACUCACCGCCCGUCACACCAUGGGAGUUGAUUUCACCCGAAGCGGGGAAGCUAAACUGGCUACCCUCCACGGUGGAAUUAGCGACUGGGGUGAAGUCGUAAC